rnacentral:rRNA from 1 species
CCUACGGGAGGCAGCAGUGAGGAAUAUUGGUCAAUGGACGAGAGUCUGAACCAGCCAAGUAGCGUGAAGGAUGACGGCCCUAUGGGUUGUAAACUUCUUUUAUAUGGGACUAAAACGUUCCCCGUGUGGGAUUUUGUAUGUACCAUAUGAAUAAGGAUCGGCUAACUCCGUGCCAGCAGCCGCGGUAAAACGGAGGAUCCGAGCGUUAUCCGGAUUUAUUGGGUUUAAAGGGAGCGUAGGUGGGUUGUAAAGUAGGUUGUGAAAGUUUGCGUCUCAACCGUAAAAGUGCAAUUGAUACUGGCAGUCUUGAGUGCAGUAGAGGUGGGCGGAAUGCGUGGUGUAGCGGUGAAAUGCUGAGAUAUCACGAAGAACUCCGAUUGCGAAGGCAGUUCACUGGUCUGCAACUGACACUGAGGCUCGAAAGUGUGGGUAUCAAACAGGAUUAGAUACCCCGGUAGUC